CCUUGUACACACCGCCCGUCACACCAUGGAAGCCGGCUGUACCGGAAGUCGGGGAAUUAACCCGCAAGGGAAAUAGCCGCCUAUGGUAUGACUGGUGACUGGGGUG
rnacentral:rRNA from 1 species